CCUUUUCCCUCCGCCCCUCGUUGUCAUCGUCGUCCCGCUAUCCCUCCCAGUGUCCUGUCCCGCCUUCUCCCCUCAGGAGCCGCACACACAGGCGGGUUAUGGAGAGUCGCCUCAGCUUUACCUGCAGUGGUUUCUAGAUACUUGCUAUUGAAAAAGAGAUAGAGGGAGACUUGCUAUUGAAAAAGAGAUAGAGGAGUAUCUCGAAAUGCGUCUAGCCUAUACCAGACACCUGCUUUUACCCUAACAUUGGCAAGCCUGAUGAUCCUCACCACCACCAACUGGACUGCAAGGAUUAUACAAGAGUACGCAUUUCGCUGGCCAGCGAACAUUUCCCUGGUGGAAAUCCGAGUCUGGCAAUCACACUCCACGGCAGUACUGAUCUCUCAGUUCAUCAUCUUUUUACUGCAACUUCUCUGCUUAUACCUGCUUCACUGACAAGCUCUCCAAUUUGACAAGUUCAUCACUGUCUCAAGUUCAGCAAUGCCUUCUUCAUACAUGACUGCAAUGCUCUUCCCCUGCCCUCGCCUGUGCUAGAGUAUAUAUUAGCUGUCAGGAAGUGUUUGAGAUUUACUCCAGCUAAUAGCAUUUGGUCAAGGAUCACAAGUCACGAUCCACUAGAGUAAUUUACUAGAAAGCUGUGCUGACAGGAACAAUGAAACAUGAACCUAUGAGGAAGAACAUCUAUGUGGAAGCCAUAAGGAGAAUGGUGAUCU